rnacentral:tRNA from 2 species
GGAGGUUUUAGCUUAAUUAAAGUGUCUGAUUUGCAGUCAGAAGAUGUGUUUAGAGACCACAGAUCUU